rnacentral:tRNA from 1 species
GGGGUUGUGUCUCAGUGGUACAGUGCUUGCCUAGCAUGCAUGAGGGACUGUGUUCGAUCCUCAGCACCACA